AUUGAACGCUGGCGGCAGGCCUAACACAUGCAAGUCGAACGAGUGGCGGACGGGUGAGUAAUGUCUGGGAAACUGCCUGAUGGAGGGGGAUAACUACGGGAAACGGUAGCUAAUACCGCAUACCAUCGGAUGUGCCCAGAUGGGAUUAGCUCGUAGGUGGGGUAAAGGCUCACCUAGGCGACGAUCCCUAGCUGGUCUGAGAGGAUGACCAGCCACACUGGAACUGAGACACGGUCCUGACUCCUACGGGAGGCAGCAGUGGGGAAUAUGGCACAAUGGGUGCAGGCCUGAUGCAGCCAGGCCGCGUGUAUGAAGAAGGCCUUCGGGUUGUAAAGUACGUUCAGCGGGGAGGCGUUACCCGCAGAAGAAGCACCGGCUAACUCCGUGCCAGCAGCCGCGGUAAUAC
rnacentral:rRNA from 1 species